GACGAACGCUGGCGGCGUGCUUAACACAUGCAAGUCGAACGGAAAGGCCCUGCUUUUGUGGGGUGCUCGAGUGGCGAACGGGUGAGUAACACGUGAGUAACCUGCCCUUGACUUUGGGAUAACUUCAGGAAACUGGGGCUAAUACCGGAUAGGAGCUCCUGCUGCAUGGUGGGGGUUGGAAAGUUUCGGCGGUUGGGGAUGGACUCGCGGCUUAUCAGCUUGUUGGUGGGGUAGUGGCUUACCAAGGCUUUGACGGGUAGCCGGCCUGAGAGGGUGACCGGCAAGAGUGGGAAUGAGAUACUGCCGAGCCGCAUACUGGAGGCAGCAGUGGGGAAUAGUGAACAAUGGGCGGAAGCCGGAUGCAGCAACGCCGCGUGAGGGAUGACGGCCGGCGGGUUGUAAACAGGUUUCGCCUGUGACGAAGCGUGAGUGACGGUAAGGGGUAAAGAAGCACCGGCUGACUACGU
rnacentral:rRNA from 1 species